AUUGAACGCUGGCGGCAUGCCUUACACAUGCAAGUCGAACGGCAGCACGGGAGCAAUCCUGGUGGCGAGUGGCGAACGGGUGAGUAAUAUAUCGGAACGUGCCCAGUCGUGGGGAUAACGUAGCGAAAACUACGCUAAUACCGCAUACGAUCUAAGGAUGAAAGCGGGGGAUCGCAAGACCUCGCGCGAUUGGAGCGGCCGAUAUCAGAUUAGCUAGUUGGUGAGGUAAAGGCUCACCAAGGCGACGAUCUGUAGCUGGUCUGAGAGGACGACCAGCCACACUGGGACUGAGACACGGCCCAGACUCCUACGGGAGGCAGCAGUGGGGAAUUUUGGACAAUGGGCGCAAGCCUGAUCCAGCAAUGCCGCGUGCAGGAUGAAGGCCUUCGGUUGGUUAAA
rnacentral:rRNA from 1 species